rnacentral:rRNA from 1 species
UACAGAGGGUGCGAGCGUUGUCCGGAAUCACUGGGCGUAAAGGCGCGUAGGUGGCGGGCCAAGUCCAUGGUGAAAGCUCGAUGCUCAACAUCGAGUCGGCCACGGAUACUGGUUCGCUGGAGCACUGUAGAGGCAGAUGGAAUUCCGGGUGUAGCGGUGGAAUGCGUAGAGAUCCGGAAGAACACCGGUGGCGAAGGCGGUCUGCUGGGCAGUGCUGGACACUGGAGGCGCGACAGCGUGGGGAGCAA